AGUGAACGCUGGCGGUAGGCCUAACACAUGCAAGUCGAACGGCAGCACAGUAAGAGCUUGCUCUUACGGGUGGCGAGUGGCGGACGGGUGAGGAAUACAUCGGAAUCUACUUUUUCGUGGGGGAUAACGUAGGGAAACUUACGCUAAUACCGCAUACGACCUACGGGUGAAAGCAUGGGAUCUUCGGACCUUGCGCGAUUGAAUGAGCCGAUGUCGGAUUAGCUAGUUGGCGGGGUAAAGGCCCACCAAGGCGACGAUCCGUAGCUGGUCUGAGAGGAUGAUCAGCCACACUGGAACUGGGCCACGGUCCAGACUCCUACGGGAGGCAGCAGUGGGGAAUAUUGGACAAUGGGCGCAAGCCUGGUCCAGCCAUACCGCGUGGGUGAAGAAGGCCUUCGGGUUGUAAAGCCCUUUUGUUGGGAAAGAAAAGCAGCAGGUUAAUACCCCGCUGUUCUGACGGUACCCAAAGAAUAAGCACCGGCUAACUUCGUG
rnacentral:rRNA from 1 species